GACGGAGGCAGCCACGGGUCACGGACCCCGGGCUCCCCGGAGGCCAGCCGAGCCCCCUGGGGGCCGGGGCUCGUGGACGUUCUGCUGAAAGCCCUUCCUAGGGCAGCCGCUCCCCGCAAGCUUAUUUGGAGGAAUCGGCUUCAUGCAAAUAUUCCGUGAGUGAUGCUGAUUUUCUCAGUUCUGCCCCUCUCGCUCCACCCGCUGCAGGCUCGGUCCCCUCCAGACGCUUCCGCCGCCUCCUCUCUGCUCCCGGCAGGCGCAGGCUCAGCCCCACGGCAGGGCCUUUGCACUGCCGGCCCUCCCUUUCCCCAGAUGCCCCAGGGGCUCCUGCGUCACCUCCUUCCCGGCUCUAGGGUCAAGGUCAGCGUGAACUGUCUAUCCUGCUCCCCCGGUAGCCCAGCAUCUCGGCGCACAGGAGGACCUCAGUAAGUGCUCGUGGGAUGGGGAGACGGGGACAAAUAACGCCCCUCGUAAAAACCCUUUCCAAUGAGAAUGCAGUUGUUGGCUGUCAUCAGAAAGAAAAAAUUCCUAGAGCUCUAAAUCCAUAUUGUUUUUUGUCUAUAUUCAAGAGGAAUAUUCCUCCAAAGAAAUUGGGGGGAAAUUGGUGAAUUUCGCUGAAUGGUCAUUUGGCGCAUUAAUCUUCAGCAAUCCGACCUUUGGUGACUCUCUCUCCAGCCUCGGUUUCUCCAUCUUGGAAUGGAGACAGCCGUCUCCACGCCACGGGAGUCGAGUUGCUGAGACA